CAGUCGCCGCGGGAAUACGAAGGUCCCAAGCGUUGUUCGGAAUCACUGGGCGUAAAGGGAGCGUAGGCGGCGUGGUAAGUCAGAUGUGAAAUCCCGGGGCUCAACCCCGGAACUGCAUCCGAUACUGCCAUGCUUGAGGGUUGGAGAGGUGACUGGAAUUCUCGGUGUAGCAGUGAAAUGCGUGGAUAUCGAGAGGAACACUCGUGGCGAAGGCGAGUCACUGGACAACAUCUGACGCUGAGGCUUGAAGGCUAGGGUAGCGAAAGGGAUUAGAUACCCGGGUAGUCCCUGUCUCUUAUAA
rnacentral:rRNA from 1 species